CCCAGACUCCUACGGGAGGCAGCAGUGGGGGAUAUUGCACAAUGGGGGGAACCCUGAUGCAGCGACGCCGCGUGGGUGAAGGAGCGUUUCGGCGCGUAAAGCCCUAUCGGCAGGGAAGAAGGAGGACGGUACCUGACUAAGAAGCCCCGGCUAACUACGUGCCAGCAGCCGCGGUAAUACGUAGGGGGCAAGCGUUAUCCGGAUUUACUGGGUGUAAAGGGGGCGCAGACGGCAGCGCAAGCCAGGAGUGAAAGCCCGGGGCCCAACCCCGGGACUGCUCUUGGAACUGCGCGGCUGGAGUGCAGGAGGGGCAGGCGGAAUUCCUGGUGUAGCGGUGAAAUGCGUAGAUAUCAGGAGGAACACCGGUGGCGAAGGCGGCCUGCUGGACCGUGACUGACGUUGAGGCUCGAAAGCGUGGGGAGCAAACAGGAUUAGAUACCCCCGUAAC
rnacentral:rRNA from 1 species